rnacentral:rRNA from 1 species
UGGGGAAUUUUGGACAAUGGGGGCAACCCUGAUCCAGCAAUGCCGCGUGAGUGAAGAAGGCCUUCGGGUUGUAAAGCUCUUUUGUCAGGGAAGAAACGGUGAGGGCUAAUAUCCUUUGCUAAUGACGGUACCUGAAGAAAAAGCACCGGAUAACUACGUGCCAGCCGCCGCGGUAAUACGUAGGGUGCAAGCGUUAAUCGGAAUUACUGGGCGUAAAGCGUGCGCAGGCGGUUAUGUAAGUCAGGUGUGAAAUCCCCGGGCUCAACCUGGGAAUGGCAUUUGAGACUGCAUGGCUAGAGUGUGUCAGAGGGGGGUAGAAUUCCACGUGUAGCAGUGAAAUGCGUAGAGAUGUGGGGGAAUACCGAUGGCGAAGGCAGCCCCCUGGGAUAACACUGACGCUCAUGCACGAAAGCGGGGGGAGCAAACAGG